rnacentral:rRNA from 1 species
CCUACGGGUGGCAGCAGUGAGGAAUAUUGGUCAAUGGACGAGAGUCUGAACCAGCCAAGUAGCGUGAAGGAUGACUGCCCUAUGGGUUGUAAACUUCUUUUAUAUGGGAAUAAAACGUUCCACGUGUGGGAUUUUGUAUGUACCAUAUGAAUAAGGAUCGGCUAACUCCGUGCCAGCAGCCGCGGUAAUACGGAGGAUCCGAGCGUUAUCCGGAUUUAUUGGGUUUAGAGGGAGCGUAGGUGGAUUGUUAAGUCAGUUGUGAAAGUUUGCGGCUCAACCGUAAAAUUGCAGUUGAAACUGGCAGUCUUGAGUACAGUAGAGGUGGGCGGAAUUCGUGGUGUAGCGGUGAAAUGCUUAGAUAUCACGAAGAACUCCGAUUGCGAAGGCAGUUCACUGGACUGCAACUGACACUGAGGCUCGAAAGUGUGGGUAUCAAACAGGAUUAGAUACCCUAGUAGUC